rnacentral:rRNA from 1 species
UACGAAGGGGCUAGCGUUGCUCGGAAUCACUGGGCGUAAAGCGUACGUAGGCGGCUUUUUAAGUCAGGGUGAAAUCCUGGAGCUCAACUCCAGAACUGCCUUUGAUACUGAGAAGCUUGAGUCCGGGAGAGGUGAGUGAACUGCGAGUGUAGAGGUGAAAUUCGUAGAUAUUCGCAAAGAACACCAGUGGCGAAGGCGGCUCACUGGCCCGGUACUGACGCUGAGGUGCGAAAAGCGUGGGGAGCAACAGG